GGCCUGGGCGGUUUUUAGUUUUUAAGCUCCCCAGUGAAUUUAAAGUUUAGCUAGGAUUGAAAAAUGCUGUGAUGGAUAAUGGAUUGUGGGCACUUUUGAAUGUCAGGUUCUAAAUGUGUGUAUAGGGCAGUGGGUCUCAGGGUAUAGGCCCUAGACCAAUAGCCUCAGCAUCUUCUGAAACUUGUUAGAAUUGUAUUAAUGGAAUCUACCAACCUACUAAUUCAAAAACUCUGGAGGGUGGGGUCAGCAAUCUUUUUUCACAAGCCUUCCAUGGGAUUCUGAUGUGUGCUAAAGUUUAAGAACCACUCACAUAGAAGGGGGAAUCCCACUGGACAAGUACAGAAUCAGAGACAUCUCAUUAGCAACAGCAGUGACUGAAGACAGAGUCUGUUUAUUCUUGAUCUAUAGUUCUGUUUUAUUCUCGCUU
rnacentral:lncRNA from 1 species